ACAUGCCUGUAACUGGCUUACAUACCAGU
rnacentral:sRNA from 1 species